AUUGAACGCUGGCGGCAGGCCUAACACAUGCAAGUCGAACGAGUGGCGGACGGGUGAGUAAUGUCUGGGAAACUGCUUUAUGGAGGGGGAUAACUCCUGGAAACGGUAGCUAAUACCGCCUACCAUCGGAUGUGCACAGAUGGGAUUAGCGAGUAGGUGGGGUAAAGGCUCACCUAGGCGACGAUCCCUAGCUGGUCUGAGAGGAUGACCAUCCACACUGGAACUGAGACACGGUCCAGACUCCUACGGGAGGCAGCAUUGGGGAAUAUUGCACAAUGGGCGAAAGCCUGAUGCAGCCAUGCCGCGUGUAUGAAGAAGGCCUUCGGGUUGUAAAGUACUUUCAGCGGGGAAGCGUUACCCGCAGAAAAAGCACCGGCUAACUCCGUGCCAGCAGCCGCGGUAAUAC
rnacentral:rRNA from 1 species